AGUGAACGCUGGCGGUAGGCCUAACACAUGCAAGUCGAACGGCAGCACAGUAAGAGCUUGCUCUUACGGGUGGCGAGUGGCGGACGGGUGAGGAAUACAUCGGAAUCUACUUUUUCGUGGGGGAUAACGUAGGGAAACUUACGCUAAUACCGCAUACGACCUACGGGUGAAAGCAGGGGAUCUUCGGACCUUGCGCGAUUGAAUGAGCCGAUGUCGGAUUAGCUAGUUGGCGGGGUAAAGGCCCACCAAGGCGACGAUCCGUAGCUGGUCUGAGAGGAUGGUCAGCCACACUGGGACUGAGACACGGUCCAGACUCCUACGGGAGGCAGCAGUGGGGAAUAUUGGGCAAUGGGCGCAAGCCUGAUCCAGCCAUACCGCGUGGGUGAAGAAGGCCUUCGGGUUGUAGAGCCCUUUUGUUGGGAAAGAAAAGCAGCAGGUUAAUACCCCGCUGUUCUGACGGUACCCAAAGAAUAAGCACCGGCUAACUUCGUG
rnacentral:rRNA from 1 species